rnacentral:rRNA from 1 species
AGAGUUUGAUCCUGGCUCAGGACGAACGCUGGCGGCGUGCUUAACACAUGCAAGUCGAACGGAGUUUAAGAGGAAGCUUGCGAAUCUUAAACUUAGUGGCGGACGGGUGAGUAACGCGUGGAUAACCUGCCUACAUGCCUGGGACAACACCGGGAAACUGGUGCUAAUACCGGAUACGCUCAUCUUUAUACAUGUAGAGAUGAGGAAAGGAGAAAUCCGCAUAUAGAUGGGUCCGCGUCCCAUUAGCUAGUUGGGGGUGUAAUAGACCACCAAGGCGACGAUGGGUAGCCGGCCUGAGAGGGUGGACGGCCACACUGGAACUGAGACACGGUCCAGACUCCUACGGGAGGCAGCAGUGGGGAAUCUUCCGCAAUGGGCGAAAGCCUGACGGAGCAACGCCGCGUGAGUGAAGAAGGCCUUCGGGUCGUAAAACUCUGUCUUCAGGGAAGAAAAAAAUGACGGUACCUGAGGAGGAAGCCCCGGCUAACUACGUGCCAGCAGCCGCGGUAAAACGUAGGGGGCGAGCGUUGUCCGGAAUUACUGGGCGUAAAGGGCGCGUAGGCGGUUAUUUAAGUCAGAGGUGAAAACUACCGGCUCAACCGGUAGCCUGCCUUUGAAACUGGAUGACUUGAGGGCAGGAGAGGGGAGUGGAAUUCCCAGUGUAGCGGUGAAAUGCGUAGAUAUUGGGAGGAACACCAGUGGCGAAGGCGGCUCUCUGGCCUGUUUCUGACGCUGAGGCGCGAAAGCGUGGGGAGCAAACGGGAUUAGAUACCCCGGUAGUCCACGCCGUAAACGAUGGGUGCUAGGUGUAGGAGGUAUCGACCCCUUCUGUGCCGUAGUUAACACAAUAAGCACCCCGCCUGGGGAGUACGGCCGCAAGGUUGAAACUCAAAGGAAUUGACGG